GAGUGUUUAAAGCAGGCUUAAGCUUAAAUACAUUAGCAUGGAAUAAUGAAAUAGGACGUUUGAUCUUAUUUUGUUGGUUUCUAAGAUCGACGUAAUGAUUAAUAGGGACAGUCGGGGAGACUGGUAUUCAAUUGUCAGAGGUGAAAUUCUUGGAUUUAUUGAAGACCAACUACUGCGAAAGCAUUUCUCAGGGAUGUUUUCAUUAAUCAGUGAACGAAAGUUAGGGGAUCGAAGACGAUCAGAUACCGUCGUAGUCCUAACCAUAAACUAUGCCGACUAGGGAUCGGACGAUGUUAUAUUUUGACUCGUUCGGCGCCUUACGGGAAAC
rnacentral:rRNA from 2 species